CGUACACUCCUACGGGAGGCAGCAGUGGGGAAUAUUGGACAAUGGGCGCAAGCCUGAUCCAGCCAUGCCGCGUGAGUGAUGAAGGCCCUAGGGUUGUAAAGCUCUUUCACCGGUGAAGAUAAUGACGGUAACCGGAGAAGAAGCCCCGGCUAACUUCGUGCCAGCAGCCGCGGUAAUACGAAGGGGGCUAGCGUUGUUCGGAUUUACUGGGCGUAAAGCGCACGUAGGCGGACUAUUAAGUCAGGGGUGAAAUCCCGGGGCUCAACCCCGGAACUGCCUUUGAUACUGGUAGUCUUGAGUUCGAGAGAGGUGAGUGGAAGUCCGAGUGUAGAGGUGAAAUUCGUAGAUAUUCGGAGGAACACCAGUGGCGAAGGCGGCUCACUGGCUCGAUACUGACGCUGAGGUGCGAAAGCGUGGGGAGCAAACAGGAUUAGAUACCCUAGUAGUCCC
rnacentral:rRNA from 1 species